rnacentral:rRNA from 1 species
UUUAUGGAGAGUUUGAUCCUGGCUCAGGACGAACGCUGGCGGCGUGCCUAAUACAUGCAAGUCGAGCGAACAGAGAAGGAGCUUGCUCCUUCGACGUUAGCGGCGGACGGGUGAGUAACACGUGGGCAACCUACCUUAUAGUUUGGGAUAACUCCGGGAAACCGGGGCUAAUACCGAAUAAUCU